AGAGCCUCUCUUAACACUGUCCUGUAGCUCAGCAACUCCAAAUUAGCACAGCUCCACACAUCCAAAGCCUGGAAAGGGUGGAAGAUGAAUAUGAACGGACAGAUCCCUCAUGCUCACCCUUGGUGGUGAAUUGAGUCAUCAGCUGAGUAUGGAAAGGAGUGGGGAACAAGCUCACAGGCUCUUUGUCUCCUUCGACUUUUGUUUCACAUUUGCCAGGAGGUAAGGCCUUCAUACCUGCAGCUGGGUCAAGUAUCUGGAAACACGUGGGCUGCCAGCAGAGCCACUUCAUGUCAGCAUCAGAGUACAAAGUGAGUGUGAGACUGAGUGAGAAUGUGAACUGCCAGGGUAUUCCUACCCGUGUGGCCCAGGCCUGGCUGCAGGGAGGGCAAAGUCUGGCUGCAGGGAGGGGAAAGGUCAGCUACAGGUCCCACCACACAUGUCCUCCAACUGCACUUUCCUUGUUCUAGCUUGGCAUCAGCCCACCUUGCUGUGUGCCUUGCAUGCCUCCUUCCUCUUCCUUUAGGAGGGGAUAGAAGGGUCCAGCUGAGGAUAAAUACAACAAUCAAGUCUUAGAUAGCAUUUGACAGCUAUUUGAUGAAUGAAUAAAUAAUAGAUGCAUAAAUAAAUGAAUGAACAAAUAAGCCAACAACUGGGUGUCAACAGGCAGACACGCACAUUUUACAAAUAGGUAUUUCCCUACUUCUCCAGCGUGAUAGAGUGGAGAUCAAUGGCUUUCACAAUAUCUUGUUAAACCUGAAAGUUUAACGAAAAUAUUCUCUUUUACUGAGUCCUUGUUAAAUUAAAGAAAAUUAGAAACAGCUACAUAUAGCCAGGGUAGGGGAAGGGGAUGGUUGGGUAAGAAACCGAGAAACUUGAAGAAGGGGAGCAGAUCAUUCUGGUGGAGUAGGGACACCUGCCUUACCUGCACUCAAACAUUCCCAAGUGUCGACUCCCAAUUCCCAGUGAAGGCUGGAGGGGUGAUGUUAAUACCUCACACUGAUAAUCCACAGUGCCUCUCCUCAGGGUCCGCUGACUCUGACACCUUUCCCUUCCCCACUCUCCUCCCUCUUCCCUUCUAGCUCAAAGUUUGGGUGAGACUGAAAAGCCAAUCUGGCUCCCACUUGCAGAGGAAUCAAGGCCCCCAGAGUUUCAGAACCCAGAGGGCCCUUCGCUUAACACAGCACCUUCCUGAGAACUAGAAACAGGCGUCCCGAUGGUAGUCACAGCUUCACAGGUGCAUGGGGAAGUGAAUGAAGAUGUUGCCUUGUGUUAAUUAGAAAAAUAUUCAAUAUCAGUCCUGGUCCUGGCGGGAAACAGAUGACACAGUCAAAGUGGAUAAUGAAGGAAAGUGUGAGGGGAAGGCACCAUUUACAAAGACGUGGGUGGGAUUUAGGCAAACCUGCAAGGAAUGGUAUGGUAUCCUGGGGCUAGCAACAGUGGGGAGCCCUGAGAGACAAGGAGAGAGAGAGCCCUGUACUGAGACAAAGCAAGAACUGUAGCUUUGGAAGCUGUGACCUUCAGAAAGGGAGAGAGACAAUCAAUGGCCCUCAGUAAGGAGAGGAGCCAAGAGAAACGCUCUUCCCUUUGCUCUCCUGCCAGCACCCCCAACGGUGGAACUCAGCCAGGUGCUGGAGGGAGGGGGGUGGGCCAUGUCAUCCACACAGGCCAGCCAGCCAGGGCACAGAGGAGGGUGGGAAGUGGGUCCAGAGAGGUGAUGGGAAGCAUCCUCAUGGGUACCCCUUUCCCAGGCAGAUGCAACCCUGUCCGUACACUCCCAAGGAGCCUCGCACAGGCUGCAGGUCAGCCUCGCUCUCUCCCGGGCCAGAAGCCCUUUUGCACGGCAAGACUUGCAUAAUCAUAUGUGACAGUCCUAACAGCCUUUGAGGACUAUACCCCUUUUCAUGUGUAAAAAUAUUACAAAAGGAUCCCAUGUCCCAAAAUAAAUAGAGAAAAACAAAACAUUGCAAGCAGCUAUCUCCAGCAACCAUGUUUCUAUUCUUCCAAUUUGGCUCCACUUUCUCCACCAGCCUUUUUUUCUCUUCAGCAAAUGGCACAACCUUCCACCUGGUCACCUGAGGCAGAAACCUGCUAUUGCUUUGACCAUCUCCUCCUUCAUCUUCCACAUCCAAAUGAAUGGUCACCAGCAUGUUGGGUCCCUGCUGGAAGUCCAUCACCACCUGUUUAUUCCUACUGCAUUGCCACAGGCCCUUAUCCAUCUUCCCGGACUCAACACUAUGAUCAUUUCCAAGCUGAGCUCCAGCUUCUGCAUGUAUCCAGCCCCACUCGGUCUUCCACUCUCUCACAUCCCAUGGCCAGAGGUAUCUUCUAGACAGAGAACAUUAAUAUCAUCUCAUCACUCCACUGCUUAACAUCCUUCUGUGGCUUGCCUUUUCCCAUAGGCAAGUUCAAAUGCAUGCAUCCAAAUGGACGGCUCUUUACCGUCCUGCCCCAUCAGGUCUCGCAGCUGCAACCCCCUCUCCCACCAUAUCCCUGCCCCCUUCACUCCCCUUGCUCCCUAACACUGACCUUCUUGCAAUUCCUCCAAAGUAUCAGGCCUCCUCCCACCUCUAGACAAAUGCCCAGGCUGUUCUCUCUAGCCUGAAAUACCCCCGCCCCUCCACUCCAUCCAACUAAUGCCUGCUUAUCCACCAGACUUUUGGUGAUGCAUCUGUUGUUGUUGUUGUUUGUUGUUGUUUUGAAAACUGCAUUGACCCUCUUUCUCUUUCCCUGCAAGCGGACUCAGGCACCUUUCAUUUGCACCCAUUCUCUACACUCUGUGAACACUCUUGUGCACCUCUCUUGAUGCCACUGUGUUCUCACUGUUAAUCUCCUUGUCUUUCACCCUCACCAUCCCUGUAGCCCCAUGGCCUAGCACAUGCCUGGUUCUGCCUAUCACAGGAUCUGUAAGGGCUUACUGAAGUGAAGUAAGUUGUAAUGAAAUGAAAGCUUCCUAGGUUGGUGCUGCCUGACCUCUAUCCAGUUAAUCUAUGAUCAGGGUGGCUGUUGAUUCUGUGGUACGCUAUGCCUGUUUGAUUCUUUAUGACAGAAUGUGAUUUGCCUUGCUCUAUUUUCAUCACAGUUUACAUGCUUUUAAGGCAAGAGAACCCCAUUUUCUGAUUUCUAAAGAUUUCCCACCCAACUUCUGUUCAAAUAUUUUGUCAAACAAUGGAAAAAGCCAAAGGCAGUUAAGUCCAUGAAUGGGGUUACAUUGCAUAGGCAAAUAAAUCUUCCCCUAGCUCUCUCCUUUCAAAGGGAUGGCCUCAAUAAAUUCUUCAAGUAAGCUACUUUAAAAAUAUCUCUUCUACCACUAUUUACCUCAUUUGAAUCUAUCUGAAUAUGGAACAGAGUAGGAACAUGUGAAAUGUAUUAGGUAAAUCUUACAUUGGUAGGAACCUCGAGUAAAGAGCUUGGGAUACCUCUGUAUUUGCUCCUUCACUCUUCUUACUUAGUAACUCCCAUAACUCACAUUUCUUUUUUGUUUAAUAGUGUGUUAGGCACUUUUCUAGUUACAUAAGCCGAAGGUCACUUUAACAGCAAUAACAAUUAGAAUUUGCAGUUUAUAGAACACUUCCACAUAAAGCAUCUCACUUAACUCUCAAAUGCCUAUGAGGCAGAUACUGUUAUUGUCUCUGUUUUGUAGAUGUGGGUUUUAGACACUUCAAUUUUGAACACUCUCAUCUCACCUCUUACUCCAGUCAUGUCCUCAUCAACUUGUUCCACACAGGAUUGCCGACCUUCACACGGGGGCAGCUGGACAGUGUGUGGACCUGGUCCAUACUCCUGCUUCUUGCCCUGAGGUGCCCCUGAUACUUCAUGUAGGCACUUGUUGCAUCCACUGGACACUCAUAUCUUGUACAACUUAGAAAUGGAUAGGAGUCGUGCCCAUGUGGGCUCUUCUAAUCAGUGGAGGAUGGGCCAAUAUAUAAAUGUUUCCCUCUGUUAUCUGAGGCCCAUUUCACAUGGCUCCUUCCAAGGCCAGUGGCCCCUCUGUCUAUAGCGGUGGCCAACUCCACGGCACAUCCUUGCAUUGCCUCCUCCCCCUUCCCUGUUCCACUUCCCAUCCCUCACUCCUACUCCUUGGGAUCUCUUCCCAAAUAAACUACUUGCCUACAAGCCUUAACACCUCAGGCUCUACUUCCAGGUAACUCAGAUUGAAAUAUCUGCCAAAUAUCCCAGAGUUUAAGUGGAACACUGGCAUUCAUUUUAAGAUUUUUCUGAUUCCAAAUUCCACACGCUUUUCUCUUUAUCCUCC
rnacentral:lncRNA from 1 species